UACGAAGGGGGCUAGCGUUGCUCGGAAUCACUGGGCGUAAAGGGUGCGUAGGCGGGUCUUUUAAGUCAGGGGUGAAAUCCUGGAGCUCAACUCCAGAACUGCCUUUGAUACUGAGGAUCUUGAGUUCGGGAGAGGUGAGUGGAACUGCGAGUGUAGAGGUGAAAUUCGUAGAUAUUCGCAAGAACACCCGUGGCGAAGGCGGCUCUCUGGGACGGUACUGACGCUGAGACGCGAAAGCGUGGGGAGCGAACAGG
rnacentral:rRNA from 1 species